GGGGCUGUGGCUCAGAGGUACAGCGUUUGCCUAGCAUGCAUGAGGGACUGGGUUUGAUCCCCAGUACCCCA
rnacentral:tRNA from 1 species